rnacentral:rRNA from 1 species
GAUGAACGCUGGCGGCGUGCCUAAUACAUGCAAGUCGAGCGAACGGAUGAGAAGCUUGCUUCUCUGAUGUUAGCGGCGGACGGGUGAGUAACACGUGGAUAACCUACCUAUAAGACUGGGAUAACUUCGGGAAACCGGAGCUAAUACCGGAUAAUAUUUUGAACCGCAUGGUUCAAAAGUGAAAGACGGUUUUGCUGUCACUUAUAGAUGGAUCCGCGCCGCAUUAGCUAGUUGGUAAGGUAACGGCUUACCAAGGCAACGAUGCAUAGCCGACCUGAGAGGGUGAUCGGCCACACUGGAACUGAGACACGGUCCAGACUCCUACGGGAGGCAGCAGUAGGGAAUCUUCCGCAAUGGGCGAAAGCCUGACGGAGCAACGCCGCGUGAGUGAUGAAGGUCUUCGGAUCGUAAAACUCUGUUAUUAGGGAAGAACAAAUGUGUAAGUAACUGUGCACAUCUUGACGGUACCUAAUCAGAAAGCCACGGCUAACUACGUG